rnacentral:rRNA from 1 species
GGAAUCUUGGACAAUGGGCGCAAGCCUGAUCCAGCCAUGCCGCGUGAGUGAUGAAGGCCCUAGGGUUGUAAAGCUCUUUCGGCGGGGAAGAUAAUGACGGUACCCGCAGCAGAAGCCCCGGCUAACUUCGUGCCAGCAGCCGCGGCAAUACGAAGGGGGCUAGCGUUGCCCGGAAUCACUGGGCGUAAAGCGCACGUAGGCGGAUCUUUAAGUCAGGGGUGAAAUCCCGGGGCUAAACUCCGGAACUGCCUUUGAUACUGGGGAUCUCGAGUCCGGGAGAGGUGGGUGGAACUGCGAGUGUAGAGGUGAAAUUCGUAGAUAUUCGCAAGAACACCAGUGGCGAAGGCGGCUCACUGGCCCGGUACUGACGCUGAGGUGCGAAAGCGUGGGGAGCAAAC